rnacentral:rRNA from 1 species
GACGUAGGGCGCGAGCGUUGUCCGGAUUUAUUGGGCGUAAAGAGCUCGUAGGCGGCUUGUUGCGUCGACCGUGAAAACCCGGGGCUCAACUUCGGGCUUGCGGUCGAUACGGGCGGGCUAGAGUUCGGUAGGGGAGACUGGAAUUCCUGGUGUAGCGGUGAAAUGCGCAGAUAUCAGGAGGAACACCGGUGGCGAAGGCGGCAUCCUGGACCAACACUGACACUGAGGAGCGAAAGCCAGGGGAGCAAACGGG